AUGCACUGUGAGUCUGCAACUUCAUCGCUUCUCCUAAACUCUACUCCAUUCUCUCUUCUUCAAUCUCCGCCAUGAAACCCAGAACUCAAAGACUCUUGCUUUCCUUCUUCGCCCUCAUUCUCAUGCUCCACAUUUCCCAAAGCUCUCAACUUUCAGACCCACAAACCCAUCUGAUCAGACCCAGACACCAACCCAGAAGAUUGCUCGUUUCACUAGUCACAUUUUCUUCGAACCAAAACAAGCCCAACAAAGCAAUGGAGGAUCCCCACAAACCCAUAGAGACUAGCUUGAAGAAGGCUCCACCCAGCAAAUCGAAUCCGACCCACAACCGGUAACGGAGACAUUGACAUUUGUUUAUGGAAAAGAGAACCCAAUUUUGCAGCUUUAUUGAUUUUCAGUGUUAUAUAGGCCUCAUAACGGAAUAGUGAGGAGAAGCAGAUGAAAGGAAAUAACUUCUUACGUACUGGUUCUCCUGGGACUUGAGAAAGUGCAACUGCUGCAAUUACUGCUGAUAUUGUUGCUUCUUGUACAUCUUCUCAACAAGGUAAACUAAUACGUUUGUUUAAAUUAGAAUCCUUCUAAAGAAAGAGUUUGGAAGGUAUGCUUUCUGCUUUUAUGUAAAACUACAAUCAAAGGAUUUAAAGAAAGGUGAUGGCCACAAUGGUCAUCAAGUCCUAUGAUUGGUUUAACAGGUAAAAUGUUCUGGUGCUAUUAUAUGGCUCAAUUUACAUUUUGAUGAUUAUUUGUUGAAACAUUUGAAAAAUCCAGUACUAAAGGCAUACACUUCAACCAAAAAACUGAAAGAAAAUGAAAAAUAAAGAGUCACACUGUUGAAUAGUUGAGUACAUCACAUAUAAAGAGUCAUCUGAUGCUAAUCCAUGGGUAAGGCCUAUGGCUAUUGCUCAACUACAUAUUUAGAAAAGUUCAAACGAGCAUAACCAAUGCUGUCAGACUAACUGAUUAAAAAAUAUUUUAAUCUGCAUGUUGGUUGCUUUCAGACAAAUUCGGUAAUGAUAAUUUUCUCCCAAAAUCACUGAAGGCUAGAUUGACGAAAAACUUAACAAAAGUAAUAGAGUACGAAAGGAAUGCUUCUGGCUAGCCACUAAUGAAGACAUGCCAUUUGGGAAGUGGGAAGUUUUCUUUCUAUAUCUUGCAAAGAUGAAUGAUGUCAGGGUUUUUGCUUUGGUAUAAGGAGAAAAAGUAUGGUUUCAUUGACCCUCAAUAAUAUUAAUUUAAGAAAAUAUAAGCAUUACUAAUUGUCUGGCCUUUAUUUUGUGUGAGUAAUCUUUACUUUUUGGCGGUAAUGACCAAUUUAUGCAUGAUGCAUCUAAAUUGGUUGAUUUUAAAGUAUAACUGUCUUAAACUCCUGGAUGAUUUUUCCUUUGUUUUCUGCAGACAUUUGUACAGAAAAAGUUUGUUUCUUACAAGACUGCUUACCUGGUAUCAUUAUUAAGUUACCUAAUAAUAUAUUCAAUGAUGUUCACCUAGUCAGUAACUGACCAAUAGCUCAACCACCGUCGGAUGUAAAUUUCCACCGUUAGAUUUACAUCCAACGGUGGUUGAGCAUAAUUUCCUUGGUCACUAAUUGACCAGGUGAACACCAUUGAUAAUCUAUAAUUGCCCUUGCAACUAUAUCUGCUUGGAUACCCUAUGCUUAAAUGGAAAUGCAGUUAUGAAAAUUUAGUGAUAGAUAAUUCUUACUUUUGACAGAUGAAAGGCACCAUAUGUACCUAAUGAGGUAAUUUUAUGUCAAACCCUCCACCUUGUGUAAAUAAUUAUUUCAAAAUAAAUCUAAAACCAAUCCCCACCCCUCUGUGUUGCUCUGUGUCUCACAUCAGAAACUGGGCCUUUCCUGUGUAAUCAUCUCAUGGAGUCAUGGUAUAAACUUUUCUUUCGUACCCUUUAGUUUGUUUUCUUAUUUUUAUUUUUUCAAAAUCUGUGGGAAUUGUUGCAUCCUUUAGUGUGAUUUUCGAUGCUUUUCAGAUUGAAACUAUAACUCAAAUCAAAUCAAGAGGUGUAACCACAUACUAAGCCUGUAGGGGUUUUUGAGGGGAAAAAUACAUUUGCCUAUGAGGUGUUAGAGUGGUAAAAUUUGCAAUGUUUGGCCACUAAAUACACUACAUGUUCGCUUUCGUUUGAUGAUUAUCAUUCUUCUUCUUAAGAAACCCAAGAGUAAAGAUUUUCAUUCUGUAAAAUUCAUCUUCAAUCUCCUAACAAAACCCCCAUCUUCAAUUUUCUGUCAUAAUCUUCUUUAUUUUUCAUCUGUUCUUGGUACUUUUUGAGACCAAAAAUGAGAAUCAGAAAGCAUUGGAAGCCUCCCUCUCCUCCGCCUAGCUCAAUGGGUUCAUCAAAUAAUCUCUUGCCACAUGAAGAAGUGCCAGAGGUUUCAUCAGCUGUUGUUCAUACAUGCGCUACCUGGAGUACCAUUUUUUGGGCGUGCCAAUUAUCAGAUGCACCAGAUGAACAGUCUGAUAACAGAGGAACUUUAAGGAGAAGAAAAAAAAUAAGAGUAGCUGAAUUUGCCCAACGGAUUAUGGCUUCAUUAUCUCGUAAUCAAGAUGAAACAUCUGCACUGACGCAAAGGAAGGUGUGCAACUUCUUUAUCAAAAAGAGUUGCAGGAUGGAACGACCUAAAUGCACCAGUAAUCGGAUGACACAGGUUGAGGGACAGGCAAGAGGUCUGCAUCCCUCGGGUACGGUGUUCACUCAGGGCGUGCGGAACAAAGAAAAGCUAUCUAGUUUCAAAUUUGAAGGAGAACCUGCACAGAAGAAAUCGAAGGUGUGCAACUCUAUCAACAACAAAGAAAUGCCAUUUACUUCCGAAUUUGAUGUGGAAGACAAUGAGGAAAGGAAGAAGACAAGGAGAAAGUCUUACUAAGCCAACUAUAUGGUAAUAACUAAGAGCAUACAGCAACUUUAAGCAACUUCAUUUGGACUGAAACAAAGGUUGCUUCUCUAACUUUUAUGUGUUUCUGAUUCAUAGUGCAGUUGUUCUGUCUUGAGAUUAUAAGGAAUUCUGGGUUGUGUAUUAUAAAGUUUAAUAAAUCUAGUGGCAGGAUAUCUACUAGUUAUAUGAUACAUAGAGAAUGGUAUCAUUUUAUGAACAGCGGCUUGGUAUUAAUGGAUAUUUCUAUUUUGGGUAAUUAUCAUGCAUGCUCGGUACAUUUCUGAUUUUAUCACUGUUAAAGUAACAGACGGAGACAGGUGAUAAUUGUUAGAACAGAAGGUUUGAUGUCUCAAAAAGGCUACCACACUGUUUGGGAGAAGACAUUGUUGAGUCUUCCCAAGUAUCAAUCAUUAAUUUCUGCAGUCUUUCUUGGUUUCGUUCUUUCUUUGAUAUUUCUAGUGGGUCCUAGUGUGCGAAAUUUAAGUUCAGAUUUGACAGCACCUCCUUAUAGAUUAAAUUCGACGACCUAUAAUUGUCCUCUUCUUUCUAUUCAUUCUUUUCCACUGUUAACUAGUCUUAAAGAGUUUGGCUAGGAAAUUACAUAGGUUCUUCUUCGAAGGAACAAUACAAGAGAAAGGUUGACUUAAAUAGAGUUACAAAUUGGUGGCCACGAAAAUUUUGAAAAUAAAAUGGAAGUUCUCUGUCAAUGAAGAUUUGAAGAUGUAUCUACUGCCAUAAAUUUCAAGAAGCAUACUUCAUUAAGAAAUAUAGCUCUCUGUGGUUAUAGAUUUGUAACAAUUGUUCAGCCACAUUAGUGCAGCAAAUGCAAAUAUCUUUUACUGUACGGCUGCUUCUGCUUAUUUCCUCAUUGUUUCUGAUUCCAGUUUCUGUACUUGCACAAACUAAUGGUAGAGUAGCAGUGGAUGCUUCUGGUGAUUUUGCCUUUGGAUUUACGCAUCUUCAAACAAAGAUAUUUUCUUGCUUUCUAUAUGGUAUAUGCCAAGAUACCAGACAGAACGGUAGUUUGGUACGCAAAUGGGGUUAUUCCUGCACCUAAUGGUUCAGUUCUGAAUUUGACCGCUGACAAUGGUCUAGUUCUUAUGAGUCCUCAAGGUGAAGGGCUAUGGAGAUCUAAUCAAACCAUACAGGCAGCUUUUGUUCUGGAAGAUGACAAUUCAGAGAGCUAAGGUGACGUGCAAUUGAUGUAUUGAAACUUCAUGUAACAUGAUAUCAUUUUAAUCAUUGGUGCAGU